rnacentral:ncRNA from 1 species
GAGAGCCGGAUGCUCGGAAACGGGCACGUCCGGUUCGGGAGGCGGCAUGGGAAACGGACCAGCAGGAAUGCUGGCACCGCGCCCCAUGCCGACCUUAC